rnacentral:rRNA from 1 species
ACGCUCGACACCUACGGGAGCAGCAGUGAGGAAUAUUGGUCAAUGGGCGCAGGCCUGAACCAGCCAAGUAGCGUGAAGGAUGACUGCCCUAUGGGUUGUAAACUUCUUUUAUAUGGGAAUAAAGUUUUCCUACGUGUGGAAUUUUGUUAUGUACCAUAUGAAUAAGGAUCGGCUAACUCCGUUCCAGCAGCCGCGGUAAUCUGAGCGGGCUGGCAAGGC